CCUGCUGCUUGUGCACCUUUUUCUUCCACACUUUUCCCUUCCACAUAACUUUCUAUUAAUGUGCUUUGAUACAGCACUUUGGGAACAUCCAACUUGCUUCGCAAUUACCUUUUGAGGCUUUCCCUCCUUAUGGAGGGUGUCAGUGAUGGUUUUCUGCACAACUGUCAGGUCAGCAGUCUUCCCCAUGAUUAUGAUUCCUACUGAAC